UAAUUACAGUAAAAGUACAAAGGUAAGAUGACUAUAAACUAUUUUAUAUGCAAUUAAGGUUUAUAAAAUACUAAGUACUAUUAAUAAAUCUAAAUACUUCAUAGUGUUAAGUGUUUUGACUUUUGAGUUCAUAUUAAAUACUGGUAAACAAUGGCAGUAUUUUAGCAAAAGGUAGUGCAACACUGCAACCUCUAUAAUUAUUAUUUAGGUAUUGUCAGGAUGGAAUUUGAAUCUGUUGGAGCAAGUCUAUCACAGAGAUUUUAUGAACCAUGCAUGCAAUUUGUACAUAAUCAUAUAUUUGCCCAUUAUAUUUAUAAACUGACAGUUAAUAAUUAAUCUUUCACAGACUAAUAAAAUCAUCUGGGGCCGGUAGUUCAAAGGCUUUCACGGGUUUCAAACAACCGGGCCCAGAUGAUUUUAUUAGUAUAUGUGAAAGUGUAAUAGUAUUAACUGUCAGUUUAUAAAUAUAAUGGGCAAAUUAGAGAUACAGGAGUAUAUAAAAUUAUUACUAAAGUAGGCUCAUUGCCAAUUGAUGGAUUAAGUUAACAUAAUUAAUAAACUAUAGAUGGUUUUGUUGCAUCUCACUCGAUGGAAAUUUUAAUGUUGGGUUUUGUUGAUGGAUAAAUCGAGUACUUAAUAAUAGUGAUGGGCGAUACCAGGAUUUUUAAUUCGAUACCGAUACCGAUACUUUUAAAAUCGGUAUCGGCCGAUACCGAUACCUAUUUCGAUACCAAAAUGAACACAUAAUUUCAAUUUUCGAUACUGGAAGUGAGUACUUAAAUUGCUAGUAUUGGCUAUUUUCGAUACUUGCCGGUCAGUGGAAAAACAUUUUACUUUACUGUAUGUAACCUAAAUAAAACUAUAAGUAAACCAAAAGUCCGAAACGUAAUAAAUAUACUCUAUACUUGACUUGGCGCACCACAUUCGGAAUAUUAACAGUUAUUUUAGUUGUUCAUUAAGUCUUAUUCAAACAAGAAGUGAAAUUAAACAUGUCGUUUAUAAAAGGGUGCAAGUAUCGAACGAUACCACGUCAGUAAUCGAUACCGAUACCGCUGUUUGUGGUAUCGCUGGUAUCGAAUACCGAGUACUCGGUAUCGCCCAUCACUACUUAAUAAUUUGAAUUAAAAUAUGGACCUAACCAGGCCCUUAUUGCCUGAAUGGCAUCUUAUUCAAAUAAUCAUUUAACUUGAAAUAAAGGGAUCUCCCUCAAUUGAUUUAGCCUGCAGAGGGCCAACCCCAUUCCUGGAUCACUUAACCUGAAAUUCAGGCCCUACUUUCAAAUUUCUGUCUGCAUCCUUUUGAAUGUUCAAUAUUUUUAACCUUUAACAUUAUAAUGAUAAUGAUUAUUCAAUUAAAGUCAGCAAUUUCUUUUUCAUCCUGAGAACAUCCAGUUAAUUCAGUCCUCCUGAACUUGGUUGACACUCCUUAGCAGUGAUAUUUCUGUAGAUUUGCCAUUAUUUUAUUCCAGAUAUGAACUCACAGGCCCUAUAAAUUAUGAUUAAAUACAUAUAGUGCCAUUAAUUUACAAAAUGGACCUUUGCAAUGUUUAUGCAUGCACUAGUCAAUUGAAACCCCUAACCCCGGGACAGGGCGGGGAAUUAACAGGGGAAUGGCCAUGGAUUAACACGGUCUUAAUGCAGAUUUCCCCCAGGGUACAGGGUAAUAAAUAACAAAUCAAUUUAUUAGCCAGG
rnacentral:lncRNA from 1 species